GCACCUAUAAAACAUAUUAUUGUCUAUGUAUCAUAAGUGUAGAAAGGAUUUUUAUCUAUAGGUCUUCCACCGAUUUCAUUCUUAUCAACUUAUCUAUGAUUUCAUCUUGUGAUAUAUGGAUACCUAGUCUAGGGAUAUGUCAUUGUCUUCGGUCUUCGACUUGUCUAUGGGCUUCCAAAAGACGACGUACCAUCGUUUCUGCUGUCGUUAAACGGAGACUAUUUCUGAAGUGAUUGAUGGGGUUCGAUUACCAUUGCUUAAUUUUUUUUUGGCGUGAACGACUUGGAUGGCGUGCUGGUUUCGUGUUUCAACAUGGGAGUUCCAUCAUCUUGGCAUCUUGCCUGUCCUCAAAUCUAGUGUGAAUUUUGAGAUUUUUAGUUUACUUGAGGUCGAAUAAUUAGGGUUUCGUAAGAAUUUUUGAAUUUUGGUAACAGUUUUAGACGAUGAUUGCCGAUUUUUCAUAUUCAUGUGACCACGUCGUGAUGAAUUGCUUUGGUUUUAUAGCCAAAAUAUGUAAAAUAUUCAAUAUUAUUUGGGUUUUAACAACUGUUUUUUCUCUUUGUACAAUAUAGAGCUUGCUGCGAGAUAAAUCCUUGGAUUAGAUGGACCUUGCUACUUAGAGAUGUAACAUUUCUGGUAGUCAGUUUAAUUUGUUAAUUUCAAGAAUGCACCUAAUGAGCUGGUCGCAAAAUUCAUAGGACUCAAGAUGUUAAUAAUGGUUCCAUUAAAACUUUAUCAAUGAAUAUGGAUAGGGUAAAUCAAAAAGCUUGGAAAGAGACCAUUUAUGGAAAAGUAUUUAAUGAUUGAGAUAUCUGCAAUGAUGUUGUCUUUCCUAGACUGUAUUCCUGAUUUGAUAUUUUGGAAUUUUGGUCUUCACCUUGCAACAUUCUGCAGUUAAUUUUUGCUGUAACAAUGGGAGGCAAUGAGAAGUUAAUUUGGAAGCAACUGAAACAACAAACUGUCUGCAGUUAUAUCUUCUGGUAGACUUCAGAACGUUACUUUCUACAAUUAAUUAAGGUUAUCCAACAUACGAGAGAGAGUUAAACUUCAAUUUGGUCAUACUGAAACAGUCAAUGUCUGCUUGGGUGUUGUUUUUCGUGGGCUGUAUUCUUGAUUCGCUGUUUUCGCCUUCGCCUUGCAACAUUAUGCAGUUAAUUUUCAACUGAUGAGUGAAAGCAACUGGACAUUUAUUUGAAUUCCACUGAAAUAAAGAAUUUUCUGCUACGGUAUUCUUCCUGGAAUUGGAUUGCUUUUUCCACCUGCAAACUUUGGAACAUUACAGUCUACAGCUAAUUAAGAUCGACGUUGGAGAAGACAAAGAUGACCCCGUAGUUAA